UACGGGGGGGGGCAAGCGUUGUUCGGAAUUACUGGGCGUAAAGGGCUCGUAGGCGGCCAACUAAGUCAGACGUGAAAUCCCUCGGCUUAACCGGGGAACUGCGUCUGAUACUGGAUGGCUUGAGUUUGGGAGAGGGAUGCGGAAUUCCUGGUGUAGCGGUGGAAUGCGCAGAUAUCAGGAGGAACACCGAUGGCGAAGGCAGCUCGCUGGGACGGUACUGACGCUGAGAAGCGAAAGCAUGGGGAGCGAACAGG
rnacentral:rRNA from 1 species